UACGUAGGGUGCGAGCGUUGUCCGGAAUUAUUGGGCGUAAAGAGCUCGUAGGCGGUCUGUCGCGUCGGUCGUGAAAACUUGGGGCUUAACCCUGAGCUUGCGGUCGAUACGGGCAUGACUGGAGUUCGGUAGGGGAGACUGGAAUUCCUGGUGUAGCGGUGGAAUGCGCAGAUAUCAGGAGGAACACCGGUGGCGAAGGCGGGUCUCUGGGCCGAUACUGACGCUGAGGAGCGAAAGCGUGGGGAGCGAACAGG
rnacentral:rRNA from 1 species